rnacentral:rRNA from 1 species
UGCCAGACUCCUACGGGAGGCAGCAGUCGGGAAUAUUGCACAAUGGAGGGAACUCUGAUGCAGUGACGCCGCGUGCAGGAAGAAGGUUUUCGGAUUGUAAACUGCUUUAGAUAGGGAAGAAGAAAAGACAGUACCUAUAGAAUAAGCUCCGGCUAACUACGUGCCAGCAGCCGCGGUAAUACGGAGGGUGCGAGCGUUAAUCGGAAUUACUGGGCGUAAAGCGCUCGUAGGCGGUAUGUCAAGUCAAGGGUGAAAUCCCCGCGCUCAACGUGGGAACUGCCUUUGAAACUGGCAAACUGGAGUGUGUGAGAGGAUAGUGGAAUUCCAGGUGUAGGAGUGAAAUCCGUAGAUAUCUGGAGGAACAUCAGUGGCGAAGGCGACUAUCUGGCACAUAACUGACGCUGAGGAGCGAAAGCGUGGGUAGCAAACAGGAUUAGAUACCCGGGUAC